AGGGGAGGCAGGUAGCCUGGUGGUUAGAGGAGGCAGGUAGCCUAGUGGUUAGAGGGGAGGCAGCUAGCCUAGUGGUUAGAGGGGAGGCAGCUAGCCUAGUGGUUAGAGGGGAGGCAGGUAGCCUAGUGGUUAGAGGGGAGGCAGGUAGCCUAGUGGUUAGAGUGGAGGCAGGUAGCCUAGUGGUUAGAGGGGAGGCAGGUAGCCUAGUGGUUAGAGGGGAGACAGGUAGCCUGGUGGUUAGAGGGGAGGCAGGUAGCCUAGUGGUUAGAGGGGAGGCAGGUAGCCUAGUGGUUAGAGG
rnacentral:lncRNA from 1 species